GUCUCUUCGGGGACAUUCGAUAAAAUUGAAACGAUACAGAAAAAAUUAACAUGCCCCUGCACAAGAAUGACCGCACAAAUCGAGAAAUAACAAAAUUGUGU